GAACAGGUGUAACAGACGACACAGGUACUGAACAGGUGUAACAGACGACACAGGUACUGAACAGGUGUAACAGACGACACAGGUACUGAACAGGUGUAACAGACGACACAGGUACUGAACAGGUGUAACAGACAACACAGGUACUGAACAGGUGUAACAGACGACACAGGUAC